rnacentral:lncRNA from 12 species
AGCUAUAUUCAAUUUUAAGGAGCAGGAACUACCGGAGGUCCACCAUUUAUUAUUUGUUAAUUAUAAAACUGUCUAAGUAGGAAACUGAAAGCCAGAUCUUUUGAAAGCCAGAUGAUCAGUUGUAGUCAUUUUGUAUUGAAAUUGCAAAACACGCUAGUCUAGCUCCCUGAUUCCCUGGAGGAAACAAUUUUAAAACUAUCACCACAACCUGAUGACAGCCUUGUCAGAAAAAAAACAAAAACAAACAACAACAACAAAAAAAACCUUUGACUUCUUCAAUGAUGCCUGAAGUCUAUAAUUAAAGAGUCAUUUUUUAGGUCAAUGCGUUCAAAGUUUGGUGAAUUUUCAGUCACCUGAGUUUUUCCACCCCGUCCGAGUUCUGCUGAAUCAGAUUCUUCAAGAGAGGGGUUUAGGAGUGUGUAUUUUUCACAAGGAUUCCGGAUGUUUCUGGGAGUUUACUAUGUUUGAAAAGCUCUGUUUUGAUUUAAGAUUUAUGUUCUCUUAUUAAAGUGCACAUCUCUGGCAAAUUCAAGAAAUUCAGCUCUUUGGUGAGUUGUUUGCAUCUGAGUUUAUGUGAUCCUAUCUUAGCAGAAUUCUGAAGCAAAAGCUUUGAGUAACGCUACUGAGAAAGAAAGAAGGGCAUGUAAAAAGGGAAGACAGGCUUCCACAAUAGUGCCCAACAGUGGGCUCUGGACCCGCUCUUGAUAUUAGCUGGGUAGGAGGAAAAUAAACUCUACUGUGGAGAAUAUACUCUGGGUUCCUUCUCCAGAAUCAGCUUUAUGUUACUUUCUGAGGUAAAAAUUACUGAAUCAUUUAAAGUCUUCAUAUUUUGUUGUAGUUUAUGGCAAAAUAAAUAGCUUCUUUUCAGAAACAGCUUUAUGGAAACAGACAAGAAAAUACUAAUUUUUAUGUAUGUUUUAAGUGCACUGUGGAUGUGAGAUCCCAACUGCUCAGGUUUAUUUUCAUCAAUUUGAAGUCUCCUCUCAGCUGCGAAAGUGCCAACAUCAUGACUCAGUCACACAGACUGAUCUCAAAACCAGGUAAUAUGUUUUGUAAUUCUAACAAAAGUGAGCCUUUUGGACUGAUCUUUCUUGCCCUAAGAAUCAAGGGUGUACGAGAAGUGCCCAAAUAAAGGAGAUGCUGAUUUCUACUCUAGUGGAAACUGCCUCAAAUGGCAGGGAUUUCCUAUGAAUCUGUGAGGAUGGAUGGAUCUCAAUUUCUUACAGCCUCUUCAAAAAGGUGAAAUAAAUGUUACUGACUUCUGUGCCUCA